CCUACGGGUGGCAGCAGUGGGGAAUAUUGGACAAUGGGGGAAACCCUGAUCCAGCGACGCCGCGUGACUGAAGAAGUAUUUCGGUAUGUAAAGGUCUAUCAGCAGGGAAGGAAAUGACGGUACCUGACUAAGAAGCCCCGGCUAACUACGUGCCAGCAGCCGCGGUAAUACGUAGGGGGCAAGCGUUAUCCGGAUUUACUGGGUGUAAAGGGAGCGUAGACGGCAAUGCAAGUCUGGAGUGAAAACCCGGGGCUCAACCCCGGGACUGCUUUGGAAACUGUGUUGCUAGAGUGCAGGAGAGGUAAGUGGAAUUCCUAGUGUAGCGGUGAAAUGCGUAGAUAUUAGGAGGAACACCAGUGGCGAAGGCGGCUUACUGGACUGUAACUGACGUUGAGGCUCGAAAGCGUGGGGAGCGAACAGGAUUAGAUACCCCAGUAGUC
rnacentral:rRNA from 1 species